rnacentral:rRNA from 1 species
UACGGGGGGGAGCAAGCGUUGUUCGGAUUUACUGGGCGUAAAGGGCGCGUAGGCGGCGCAACAAGUCACUUGUGAAAUCUCCGGGCUUAACCCGGAGCGGCCAAGUGAUACUGUCGUGCUAGAGUGCGGAAGGGGCUACUGGAAUUCUCGGUGUAGCGGUGAAAUGCGUAGAUAUCGAGAGGAACACCAGAGGCGAAGGCGGCGACCUGGACAGGUACUGACACUCAACUACGAAAGCGUGGGGAGCAACAGG